GUGGGAAUAGCUCAACUGGCAGAGCACCGGACUGUGGCUCCGACGGUUGCGGGUUCGAUUCCCGUUUCCCACCCCA
rnacentral:tRNA from 2 species